AACAAGGCGUACCUGCGGACCUGCGGAAGGAUCAUUACAAGUGACCCCGGUUUACCACCGGGAUGUUCAUAACCCUUUGUUGUCCGACUCUGUUGCCUCCGGGGCGACCCUGCCUUCGGGCGGGGGCUCCGGGUGGACACUUCAAACUCUUGCGUAACUUUGCAGUCUGAGUAAACUUAAUUAAUAAAUUAAAACUUUUAACAACGGAUCU
rnacentral:misc_RNA from 1 species